UUUGGGCUCCCAUAGAAAAUAGAGAGGGAGAAAUCCUCCCGACCAUCAUUCUUGCUAAUCUUGGAAUGGAUAAACUAACGGUGAUUGUAGUCCACAUUAACCUGGAUAGACUCUUUCCACAUCAUCCAAAUAUCCCCUGAAAAUCCAACUGCCUCAACUCAGUGAGAGUAGUCGAAUCCCAAGUUCUUGAUCACUUUAUCUGCUUUCUCGUAUGCCGUUCUAGGAUCCAACAACGCAACCAAGGUACGAUUGUGGAUAUUGAUAAACGACUUUAGGACACGCCGUAGACUAGCUUUGACUGCACCCUGAAAAUUCCACACAAGAAAUAAACAAUCCAUAGGGUAAGGAUAAGAGAACAGAGGAGCUGAUGCUCAAAAGAAAGAUUAUGUUUGCUCCUUCUGAAGGGCAUCAACAGCGCUUGAAACGAGGCUUAUAUCCUUAU
rnacentral:lncRNA from 1 species